AUGGCCGACGCGGGUCAAAGAGUAUAGUAUCUGUUCGUAUCAGCUUAGUAUCUGAUACGGGUUGUAUUUAGAACCAAGAUAUUAAACUUAUUUCGGCAAGUUGGCGGAGUGCGUGAAGCCUGCUUCACCUCCGCCGCGGGUCGGCCCGGUAUUGCGCUAUAUUCGGGUACGGUUUUUGGUCU